rnacentral:rRNA from 1 species
CCCUUAGAUGUUCUGGGCCGCACGCGCGCUACACUGUUUGAUUCAGUGAGUCUUAACCUUGACCGAAAGGUUUGGGUAAUCUUCUAAAGUCAAACGUGAUGGGGAUCGAUCAUUGCAAUUAUUGAUCGUGAACGAGGAAUUCCUAGUAAAUGCAAGUCAUCAGCUUGCGUUGAUUACGUCCCUGCCCUUUGUACACACCGCCCGUCGCUACUACCGAUUGAAUGGUUUAGUGAGAUCUCCGGAUUGGCUCUGUAGGUCCCGCAAGGGAUUUAUUAGUAGCCAAGAAGCUGCUCAAACUUGAUCAUUUAGAGGAAGUAAAAGUCGUAACA